UACGUAGGGCGCAAGCGUUGUCCGGAAUUAUUGGGCGUAAAGAGCUCGUAGGCGGCUUGUCACGUCGGGUGUGAAAGCCCGGGGCUUAACCCCGGGUCUGCAUUCGAUACGGGCAGGCUAGAGUGUGGUAGGGGAGAUCGGAAUUCCUGGUGUAGCGGUGAAAUGCGCAGAUAUCGGGAAGAACACCCGUGGCGAAGGCGGCUCUCUGGGACGGUACUGACGCUGAGACGCGAAAGCGUGGGGAGCGAACAGG
rnacentral:rRNA from 1 species